UUCUAUGGCGGGCGGUACGUGGGGGCCGCAAGGCCCGCCGGUUCCUUGAGUCCGGUAAGGCUAACCCGUGCCGUCCGCCACCUCC
rnacentral:antisense_RNA from 2 species